AUUUCUGUACCGUAGUGUGUAAGGGUUAUCGUGUUCGCCUCACACACAAAAGCUCCCUGGUUCGAAACCGGGCAGAAAGA